AGGUUAAGUUAAUAAGGGCGCACGGUGGAUGCCUUGGCACUAGAAGCCGAUGAAGGACGUGACUAACGACGAAAUGCCUUGGGGAGCUGUAAGUAAGCAAUGAUCCAGGGAUGUCCGAAUGGGGGAACCCGGCAGGUAAUGCCUGUCACUCACUACUGUUAAGGUAGUGAAGAGGAAGACGCAGUGAACUGAAACAUCUAAGUAGCUGCAGGAAGAGAAAGCAAAAGCGAUUGCCUUAGUAGCGGCGAGCGAAACGGCAGGAGGGCAAACCGAGGAGUUUACUCCUCGGGGUUGUAGGACUGCAAUGUGGACUUAAAGAGUAUAGAAGAACUACCUGGGAAGGUAGGCCAAAGAGAGUAAUAGCCUCGUAUUUGAAAUAGUCUUUAUACCUAGCAGUAUCCUGAGUACGGCGAGACACGCGAAAUCUCGUCGGAAUCCGGGAGGACCAUCUCCCAACCCUAAAUACUCUCUAGUGACCGAUAGUGAACCAGUACCGUGAGGGAAAGGUGAAAAGUACCCCGGAAGGGGAGUGAAAUAGAACCUGAAACCGUGUGCCUACAACAAGUUCGAGCCCGUUAAUGGGUGAGAGCGUGCCUUUUGUAGAAUGAACCGGCGAGUUACGAUAUGAUGCGAGGUUAAGUUGAAGAGACGGAGCCGUAGGGAAACCGAGUCUUAAUAGGGCGAAUUAGUAUUAUGUCGUAGACCCGAAACCAUGUGACCUACCCAUGAGCAGGUUGAAGGUGCGGUAAGACGCACUGGAGGACCGAACCAGGGCACGUUGAAAAGUGCUUGGAUGACUUGUGGGUAGCGGAGAAAUUCCAAACGAACUUGGAGAUAGCUGGUUCUCUCCGAAAUAGCUUUAGGGCUAGCGUCGACAUUUGAGAAUCUUGGAGGUAGAGCACUGUUUGGAUGAGGGGGCCAUCUCGGUUUACUGAUUUCAGAUAAACUCCGAAUGCCAAUGAUUUAUGGUCGGCAGUCAGACUGCGAGUGCUAAGAUCCGUAGUCGAAAGGGAAACAGCCCAGACCACCAGCUAAGGUCCCAAAAUAAUUGUUAAGUGGAAAAGGAUGUGGGGUUGCACAGACAACUAGGAUGUUAGCUUAGAAGCAGCUAUUCAUUCAAAGAGUGCGUAAUAGCUCACUAGUCGAGUGACCCUGCGCCGAAAAUGUACCGGGGCUAAAACAAUUUACCGAAGCUGUGGAUAACACUUAGGUGUUAUGGUAGGAGAGCGUUCUAUGUGUGAAGAAGGUAUACCGUGAGGAGUGCUGGAACGCAUAGAAGUGAGAAUGCCGGUAUGAGUAGCGAAAGAUGGGUGAGAAUCCCAUCCACCGUAAGACUAAGGUUUCCAGGGGAAGGCUCGUCCGCCCUGGGUUAGUCGGGACCUAAGGAGAGACCGAAGGGUGUAUCCGAUGGACAACAGGUUGAUAUUCCUGUACUAGAGUAUGAAGUGAUGGAGGGACGCAGUAGGCUAACUAAAGCGGGCGAAUGGAAGUGCCCGUCUAAGCAGUGAGGUGUGAUAUGAGUCAAAUGCUUGUAUCUAUAACAUUGAGCUGUGAUGGGGAGCGAAGUUAAGUAGCGAAGUUAGUGACGUCACACUGCCGAGAAAAGCUUCUAGCGAUGUAUCAUACUCUACCCGUACCGCAAACCGACACAGGUAGUCGAGGCGAGUAGCCUCAGGUGAGCGAGAGAACUCUCGUUAAGGAACUCGGCAAAAUGACCCCGUAACUUCGGGAGAAGGGGUGCUGACUUAAGGUCAGCCGCAGUGAAUAGGCCCAAGCAACUGUUUAUCAAAAACACAGCUCUCUGCUAAAUCGUAAGAUG
rnacentral:rRNA from 1 species